UGACACGGGGCUGGAACACUGUCAGCAGCAGCCACUUUUCAGAUCAAUAUUUUGCAUGGAUAUGGUUUCCACCAAUUCCUCAGAAGAAAUUCAGCUCUGGGUUCUGCACAAAAGGGAGUUACGAUGCCUAUCUCCUCGUCUAACUGAAGCAUGAUAGAAAGCUUCAUAAGAGUCUGCAAGACAUCAUCCUCUCCAUCUCAGCUGUGCAAACAGAGAGCACAAUGAGGUGGGGUGUUCCAAAUAUCUUCUGCAGCUGCAAAAAAGAUACAU